rnacentral:rRNA from 1 species
UUCCAGACUCCUACGGGAGGCAGCAGUGGGGGAUAUUGCACAAUGGGGGGAACCCUGAUGCAGCGACGCCGCGUGGGUGAAGAAGCGCCUCGGCGCGUAAAGCCCUGUCAGCAGGGAAGAAAAUGACGGUACCUGAAGAAGAAGCCCCGGCUAACUACGUGCCAGCAGCCGCGGUAAUACGUAGGGGGCAAGCGUUAUCCGGAUUUACUGGGUGUAAAGGGGGCGCAGACGGCGAUGCAAGCCAGGAGUGAAAGCCCGGGGCCCAACCCCGGAACUGCUUUGGAAACUGUGCAGCUCGAGUGCAGGAGAGGUAAGCGGAAUUCCUAGUGUAGCGGUGAAAUGCGUAGAUAUUAGGAGGAACACCAGUGGCGAAGGCGGCUUACUGGACUGUAACUGACGUUGAGGCUCGAAAGCGUGGGGAGCAAACAGGAUUAGAUACCCUGGUACCG